rnacentral:tRNA from 1 species
GGGGAUGUAGCUCAGUGAUAGAGCUCAUGCUUUGCAUCCAUGAAGCCCUGGGUUUGCUCCCCAGCACCACAA